AUUGAACGCUGGCGGCAGGCCUAACACAUGCAAGUCGAGCGGAUGAAGGGAGCUUGCUCCUGGAUUCAGCGGCGGACGGGUGAGUAAUGCCUAGGAAUCUGCCUGGUAGUGGGGGAUAACGUCCGGAAACGGGCGCUAAUACCGCAUACGUCCUGAGGGAGAAAGUGGGGGAUCUUCGGACCUCACGCUAUCAGAUGAGCCUAGGUCGGAUUAGCUAGUUGGUGGGGUAAAGGCCUACCAAGGCGACGAUCCGUAACUGGUCUGAGAGGAUGAUCAGUCACACUGGAACUGAGACACGGUCCAGACUCCUAUGGGAGGCAGCAGUGGGGAAUAUUGGACAAGGGGCGAAAGCCUGAUCCAGCCAUGCCGCGUGUGUGAAGAAGGUCUUCGGAUUGUAAAGCACUUUAAGUUGGGAGGAAGGGCAGUAAGUUAAUACCUUGCUGUUUUGACGUUACCAACAGAAUAAGCACCGGCUAACUUCGUG
rnacentral:rRNA from 1 species